rnacentral:rRNA from 1 species
UACGUAGGGGGCUAGCGUUGUCCGGAAUCAUUGGGCGUAAAGAGCGUGUAGGCGGCCCGGUAAGUCCGCUGUGAAAGUCGGGGGCUCAACCCUCGAAUGCCGGUGGAUACUGUCGGGCUAGAGUGCGGAAGAGGCGAGUGGAAUUCCUGGUGUAGCAGUGAAAUGCGUAGAUAUCAGGAGGAAUACCGAUGGCGAAGGCAGGUCUCUGGGCUGACACUGACGCUCAUGCACGAAAGCGUGGGAAGCAAACAGG